UACGCGACUUGAUUUCCAAUAGGUGUAGCAGCUACUUGCACCUGUUUGACAUUAUCACACAAUUUGACACUGUAUACAGACGUUGCCGCUCCGCACAAGUUAAUGUCAACAUUGUCAAGUCAACCUUUCCAACUGCGAGUAAACCAUCGCACUGUGCCCGAAUACGUAUGAAUAUAAGGUUAAUUUCAUUGUGUACUUUGUCACACUGUCUCACGUGUCUUCCGUUUAAGCUUUAGUGACUGGCUGUGUAUUAGUGUUUUGUGUUUUUCCGCGUUUAGCAAGCCUCGUUGACUGUGCAUUAUUUAUUUAUGUUUUUUCUAUAAAUAAAUUAAAAAUGUUUCUGUCAUAUGAAGUGGUGACAACGUUUGGCGUGUCGGCGUUCCUAUCAUUCUUCGUGUCAGUGACUAUUUUGCUCACCGUGGUAUCAAAACGAGGACUAUUACGACCACCUCCCGCAGAGAAGCCUUUGAUACCUCAAUGUAAAGAGAAACCUCCACCGUCAGCUCCUGAGUUGGCUGCAUUGGCCGAAUCUAUGUAAAACUAUGUAGCGUAUUAAUAAGUUUGCUAAGUAUAUUAAAAAUACAAUAAACGGGAUGUCGUAGUUUCAAAUCAAUGAUGUUAAAAGAAAAAAGCGGUAGAUAGGUUAUACACGCUGCAAGUGGCACGUUAAAACUAUGCUAAUUAGCAAACCUGAGCUCAGUCGCCGCACUGUCAUCGCGCCGUUGAUUGGCAGCUGAAAUAAUUUUUGUGUGCCAGUUCUAAACAUCGAAAUGUGGUUUAUGUUUUUUAUUAUUCUUUACAAGUUAGCCCUUGAUUACAAUCUCACCUGAUGUGUGAUGCAAUCUAACAUGGAAGCGGGUUAACUUGUUCGGAGGAGGAUGAAAAUCAAACCCUUUUCGGUUUCUACACGACAUCGUACCGGAACACUAACGGUGACGGUACGUGUUUGCCAGUAGGGUGGUAGCUAGGCACGACCGAAGCCUAUCUAGCUCUUUUUUCUUCUAACAUCAUUGUUUCAAGCCAUGUUGGCUGGCUAGCCAUCGUGUCAUUGUACUAGUAGCACUAUUCUGUUUUCUGUAAAGGUGUUUUGUGACUCGAUAGUGUGAAUUCUAAGAAUUCAUAUUGUCUCUCUCUCUAUCUCGUGUUACUCAGUCUCUCUAUGCUCCUUAUACUGGGGUUCGAUUCCGCUAUUUUAUACUCGUCGAUGUAAUAUUCGCUUAUAACACAUAUUAUUCGAAUUUGAACUUUAUUUCUAUGGUAAAUUAAAAUGACACUAACAACGAAGUUUCCGUGGAAACCAACUAUGCCACAGCAUUUUACUAUAUAGACCGCGGGGACUGUUCGUCGCGAUGUUGCCCUUACUUGCCCUUACACUUGCGUGAAAAUAUUUUGGGAAAAUUCGUGGCAAGACCAGUUAAUGUGGCCACCUCGCGCUGCCGUGUAAUUGCCCAGCCUGGCCAGUCAACUUCCCUGCUCGCUUUUCUCGUUACUUCCCACGCCACUAAUGCAGUGUGGCUUUAGAGAAGGAGAGAUAGAUAAGAAUUUGAUACUCAGACUGUCGAGUUAUAAAACAUCGUUACAGAAUAACACUACAAAUCAUUAGUGUUUUAAGAAUCAUCCACCAUCCAUAAGGUCACAACCUUCAUAAGCCAUGUGGAAUAGGUCCAAGUAGGUAUCAUAAGUUUUAAACUUUUUAACUGGACAGGCUAAAGGUCAAAACUCAUUAUUAAGCCUCAGACACCCAACGGGAACGUCUCGCCUAUACCAACCGCGCGGUCACCUCGCCGGCCGCUUGCCAAUACGAGCGUACAUUAACUUUGAAUGUCCGAGAGCUGGAGGACAUUUUUGGAUAUUUGCGGUUGUAAGCUCUUGGUCCAAUAUAAAUUAUACUUGACAUUGGUACAUUCAUCAUCAUCAGCUUAGGACCUGCUGGAUAUUGGCCUCUUGCAUGGACUUCCAACCACCUUCCACCAGCAUCAGCGGUUCUCUGCAAUGUCUCUGUCCGCUUUAUGUCCUAAGUCCUCAUAGUGGGAUAGUGGGGGGUCGACCAACAUUGCUUUGCGACCACCUCUUAUAAGAACAAUAUGGUACCUACAUUAUCAGUAUCUUAUAAUGUUAUUUAUAUAUAAUAGGUACACCCAACAAUUAAUACAAUUUCGUGUUUGAAUUGUACAUUAGUAGUUACCUUAAAUAUUUUUGUUAGUGGGUGCUUAUUUUUAUUUUUUCUUACCGUCGUCUGUGUUUCACUAAAUCAUUUUUGAUCAUAUUUUUACUUUUUAAAUAAAAAAUAAUUUUAGGA